GCUUCUUCACAAUCUACUUGCACUACAGUCUGCUUUCCCUUCAACACUGUCCACCCGAUCGUACGUGUUUGUUUGCUUGCGGGCUGUGUAGCACUACGCAUCGGCGAUGAAACUCCCUUCCCAUCCCUACCGCAUGUAAAGGCAAUCUAGCAACCGAGUGGCUCGACACUGUGUUCCUCACUUUGUUUCUCCCACAUCAUUCCAGCAUUGCUGUAAUGCCGGCAAUGGUUUAGGGUUGCAUGCGUGCGCCGCGACUGACUAGCAUAUUAAUUCGUGGAUCUUCGAUUGCCUUUCCACCUUCUCUACCAAAUCUUCCUGUCGCAUUUACUGCCUUCCUGUGAGAAGCCCAUGCGAUCGGACAUUAUUGCUAACAGUGCGACUGUGCUAUUCUCACACGACUGACUUGAAUGAAGUUGAUUGUCUUCGCGAAUACGUCCACACACUCAUACACACACAUACAACCACACGCACACUUUAAUACUCACAUGCAUGCACACUGGCGAUCACACACUCUAAGCAGGCAUUAUAUUCCGUAUUUUCAUUCACAAAAUCACGGAACGGAGCAAACCGAAUGAAUUAGGCAAACUAAAACCAAAGCACCAACGUACUGUCUGGGGACUAUCAUAGGCCUCCCAGUGCGUUCCAUCCUAGCAACACUCUGUGUCGGUUGAUCUUAGUGUUAGGUUGAAGCCCUCGGUUUCAGCAACACAGCACAAUCACUGGCGAAUCAACACACUUCGACUGUCCCAGCAGCGAGACGGGGACAGUAAA